rnacentral:rRNA from 1 species
CCUACGGGAGGCUGCAGUGAGGAAUAUUGGUCAAUGGACGAGAGUCUGAACCAGCCAAGUAGCGUGAAGGAUGACUGCCCUAUGGGUUGUAAACUUCUUUUAUAUGGGAAUAAAAUGUUCCACGUGUGGGAUUUUGUAUGUACCAUAUUAAUAAGGAUCGGCUAACUCCGUGCCAGCAGCCGCGGUAAUCCGGAGGAUCCGAGCGUUAUCCGGAUUUAUUGGGUUUAAAGGGAGCGUAGGUGGAUUGUUAAGUCAGUUGUGAAAGUUUGCGGCUCAACCGUAAAAUUGCAGUUGAAACUGGCAGUCUUGAGUACAGUAGAGGUGGGCGGAAUUCGUGGUGUAGCGGUGAAAUGCUUAGAUAUCACGAAGAACUCCGAUUGCGAAGGCAGUUCACUGGACUGCAACUGACACUGAGGCUCGAAAGUGUGGGUAUCAAACAGGAUUAGAUACCCCAGUAGUC